rnacentral:rRNA from 1 species
GGAAUCUUGGUCAAUGGGCGCAAGCCUGAACCAGCGAUGCCGCGUGAGUGAUGAAGGCCUUCGGGUUGUAAAGCCCUGUGGGGAGGGACGAAAGUGCGCGUUCUAACAGGGCGCGUUUUGCCGGUACCUCCUUAGCAAGAACCGGCUAACUCUGUGCCAGCAGCCGCGGUAAGACAGCGGGUGCAAACGUUGCUCGGAAUCACUAGGCGUAAAGGGCGCGUAGGCGGGGAGAUAAGUCGGGCGUGAAAGCCCCAGGCUCAACCUGGGAACUGCACUCGAAACUGUCUUUCUUGAGUAUCGGAGAGGAAAGCGGAAUUCCUGGUGUAGAGGUGAAAUUCGUAGAUAUCAGGAGGAACACCAGUGGCGAAGGCGGCUUUCUGGACGGUAACUGACGCUGAGGCGCGAAAGCGUGGGGAGCAAAC